AGCCAUCUCUAGCAUCAAUUCCCAUUUUCCUGUAAUUUUCUUGUAUGGAGUGAAGUUGCAGCAAAGAUUUCACAUAACUUCAGAUUCCAUGAAUUGUAAAAAGUAUCUGCAAGGAAGCGCAACAUUGCUCUAGAUGAGGCACUCUUAAUCUUAACCAUGAGAACGAACUUAGCUGGCCAGAAGCUCGGCAGAAUCAUCUCUAUCAAAUUUGGAAACCUCCCUUUAUUUUUUGUUAGUGAAGAUUCAGCACUACAACUUGCACAUCCUCUUACUCUUAGUGUGAGGGUCCUCAUUUUAGUAUUUUUCUUUGCUGUAAAUUUGGAAAGUCACAUGGAUUCAACUGAUUUCCAAGCAUCGUCCGAUGAUUUCAAAAUCAUUGAUCAUGCCACAUACUGUCUCCAAAGUCAGAUGAAGGAUAUGCCAGUCAAGCAAGUACAGCCAUCAAAAUCAGCCAAACUAAUCAUGAAGACACAUCAACAUCGUCUGAAAAAAAUUAAAUGAUAAACUAUUUAAAUCAGAAAUUGAAUCCUUAACUGAAGCUGAAUGCAGCCUUUUAUCUUCCAAAAUGGAACCUAAAGACGGAAAGGUGCUCAGAAGGAAUGAAAAUAUUUUGUUCAUCUUGCUUGAAUUUUUCUUUUUACUUUCCCACAAGAUCAACAUUAGAGAAUGAUCUAAUGAAUCUGAUGUGGGACCCUCUCAAGUUAGAAAAUCACAGCUGUGGAUGCUGGUUCUAACUUCUCUCCUAUCCUCCAG
rnacentral:lncRNA from 1 species